rnacentral:rRNA from 1 species
ACAGCAGUCGCCGCGGUAAUACGAAGGGGGCUAGCGUUGUUCGGAAUUACUGGGCGUAAAGCGCACGUAGGCGGAUACUUAAGUUAGGGGUGAAAUCCCAGGGCUCAACCCUGGAACUGCCUUUAAUACUGGGUAUCUUGAGUUCGAGAGAGGUGAGUGGAAUUCCGAGUGUAGAGGUGAAAUUCGUAGAUAUUCGGAGGAACACCAGUGGCGAAGGCGGCUUACUGGCUCGAUACUGACGCUGAGGUGCGAAAGCGUGGGGAGCAAACAGGAUUAGAUACCCCCGUAGUCCCUGUCUCUUAUAC